ensembl:lncRNA
GAUAAAACCCAGGCAAGCUAGGCUCUGGUUAAGUAGUUUCUCUUGAGGGCAGACCUUGUUAAGAACAGAACGCUCAGGUGUAUUUCUAAUUGGUUCCUUUUCCCUUCCUCCUCUUGGAAGCAUGAGCCGAUUUUUCUCUGAUAUUUACUGUGAGAACCUGGUAAAGAUUCAGGAAGUAAAACUCACAAAUUAUGGGGCCUCCUAGAUGACUGGGUUCCCCUGGAGUUUUUCACUCUCAGAGUUGUCCACACUGAGUCUCCAACAAUUCUUCAGUUAUAGUUCAGGUUUCCUUAUGCUGGCACUGGUUCCCAUGGAGGCUGCUGCUCCGGAGAGCAUGCGGCCUUCCUGCGAGGAACACAGUCUGAGGAAACAUACAACUCUCACAUGAUUGUUCAAGUGCAAAUUCUGCGCCUCUUGAUCACAGAUCGUGCCUUAUGUGCAGAGCUAUUUCUUAACUUCAGUCUAUCCUGGUGACCUCCUAAUGGGAGAGUCAAAGGAAAACCAACUCCUUCGUUCUCCUCUUCAGUGUUUACCAAACUGUUCUCCUCAAUGAAAACAUACCGUCCCACUUCUAUCAGCAGAGUUCAAUGAAACAAACAGAACUACUAUUUGUCUCUGUCGGACCCUGGUUUUCAUAUUUGAUGCUGGAGCUCCAAGACUGCAGUGCAGGCAGUUAGGAAAGAAAGACGCAUAAGGACGGAUAGAUGGAUAAAAGGAAGAGCAAAGAUAAACUGGGACUUGUGCAAAAACUGGAACCCACAAGGAUUAACUGGAACCCUUUUCAGUUCUCAUUGCUCCCGAGUGUGAUGAGACUGGUGUCCUGCAUGAGAAGCUGCUGCCCCUCUUCAUGGAGCUAAACACGCAUCUGGCCCAGGAUCCUGAGAAGCUGAAGGAGGCUCCAGGGGAACUUAUAUUAGUUGCAGACCUGCUGCUGCCCCACCUGUACAAGUUCAGCCUGCAGAAAACAACCUGUGUGAGCUACAAAAGUGCCCAAGGACCUUGCUGUAGGCUUCUGCACGUAAAGAUGAGUAGAGCGGCUGCUUUGCUUCUGUGCCCCUAAAUUUUUACAAAGAUAUCUCUUACGGCCCACUCUCUUCACAAACAUACAGGCUAAGAAUAUCCUGGGAAAAGCAGUUCAGCUUAUCUAAGUUACCACAUUACAAAGCCAAUGCAGUCCACCUUUUGUCACUUAGUACCCAUAUAUCUCUCUUUAAACACAAUAAUUUCCAAUAAAAACAGUAAUAAAGUCAUGCUUCCCCUGACACAAUACAACUUUUCCACUGACUUUAAUCACAGGACUUGAGUGUAUUAAGAGAUCUCCCUGGGGGUACACCUGUGUUCCAGACAUGCUAUUGUGAGUCUGCGUUCUGUAGUAGCAACCCACCAUUCACUUAAUUGUCAGAGUCAGUUACCCAGCCAGAGCCGAAAUCUCCUUCUUUGCACAUUGAUUCAUUGCCACGAGGAGCUAAAAGUGGUUAGGUUGGCAUCUCAAAUUCCAGUUCAAUAAAAUAAUUAUUUUGUCAUUGAUAUAAGCAUUUCUCCUUUUGGAUUUAAGACUUCUCAACCAGUAGAACCUAAAGUCACAGGGCAAUGGAAUCUUUUGUUUUCCCUAAUGGAUCACUUGUGGUAAUAGUGAAAGGAAGUACUUCUCAUUUCCACCCUUGGAUUCACAGAUCCAUGAAUCUUGGCCACAGGAGAAGCAUCUCCAUGUAUAGCUGCUGGUUUAGAGCAUAUAUCACAUCCUGGAGAAAACUGCCCCACAUCUACAAGGGUUUACAACCAAAAUACAACCAUAAGUAAGAAUUCAAAAGAUCCUUGUUCUGUUUUAUCAUCCAGCUCUUUCAAGAUAAUGAGGAAUGUGUACAUCCAAUAAAUGUCAUGGACCUGAGCUCAUUGCCAAACUUCGUUGGCUAGGAAAUUAUUUGGUUGGUCAGAAAUGAUGUUGUGUGUUAUACCAACAUGGUGAAUAUGGCAUUCUAUAAGUCCAUGGGGAGUUACUUUGGCAGAAGCAUUGUAGACAGGGAAGGAAAAUCCAUAUCCAGAGUAAAUGUCUACUCCAGUGAAAACAAAGUAUUGCCUCUUCCACCUGUUGAGUUGACUGCUAAUCCCAGGGAAUGGUGCCAUAACAGGGGCUAAGUGUUGGUUUCUGCUGUGGACAUAUUGGCACUCAGCAGUGGCUGUAGCCAGCUGUGCCCUGGUGAGUGGAAAUCCUAUAUUCUGAUCCCAUGUAUAACCUCUAUCACUGCUGCUGUGGUCACUUUGUUCAUGAGGCAAUUUGGCAAUGACAGGAUUGGCUGAGAGCAGGAUGAUUGAUACUCAGAGCAAUGGUCACCUUAUUUUUCUCCAUACCACCUACAACUGCCAGACAUAGGGAAUUUGUUUGUCUGUUUGUCUUUAUUGGCUGUUUCCCCACAUUAGAAUGUGAAGUCCAUUGACAGCAGGGUUUAUUGACUAUUUUGUUCACUGAUGUAUUCCCAGGACAUAAAAAGGUAUUUGAAAUGUAACGUAUAUACUCAAAAAAUAGUUGUCAAGUUAAAAGAAUAAUUAAACUGUAUAAAUAGCUUAUGUAUGACAACUAUUUUUAUUCCUAAUUUAUAGAUAAGAAAGCUGAGAGUCAGAGAUGUUGUUGCUUACCAAAUGCCAUUCAUCUAUCAAGUGGUAGAGCUGGGAUUCACACCCUGUUUGUCUGACUUACAGACUGUACUUUUAACCAGGAUAAUAGAUUACCUCUUGUUUUGGAAUAUUGAAUUUUUUGAUGAAGUAAAACACUGUCAGAAAGAGUUUUCUAUUUUGAAAUUUGAGUGUGAUGCAGUAGAAAUCCUGCACUAAAUCAAUCAAAACUGUGACCACUGUUGGUAUCAUCUGUGCUUUCAAAGAAAGAUGCAAACAUUUUGGAUCCAUCUGUGGGUUUUCCAGGAUCUGAUUGUACUAGAGAGACAGAAAUUGCAUUUCAAGACAUGCCAAGUUUGGAAGACAAUAGUAAACACCUCGUCCUAUCAUUUAGGGCUCCUGGAGAGUGACUGUCCAGC